GAUGAACGCUGGCGGCGUGCCUAACACAUGCAAGUCGAACGGAGCUGCUUUGAUGAGAUCUUCGGAUGGAUUUAAAACAGCUUAGUGGCGGACGGGUGAGUAACGCGUGGGUAACCUGCCUCACACUGGGGGAUAACAGUUAGAAAUAGCUGCUAAUACCGCAUAAGCGCACGGUUCCGCAUGGAACAGUGUGAAAAACUCCGGUGGUGUGAGAUGGACCCGCGUCUGAUUAGCCAGUUGGCGGGGUAACGGCCCACCAAAGCGACGAUCAGUAGCCGGCCUGAGAGGGUGAACGGCCACAUUGGGACUGAGACACGGCCCAAACUCCUACGGGAGGCAGCAGUGGGGAAUAUUGCACAAUGGGGGAAACCCUGAUGCAGCGACGCCGCGUGAGUGAAGAAGUAUUUCGGUAUGUAAAGCUCUAUCAGCAGGGAAGAAAGUGACGGUACCUGAAUAAGAAGCCCUGGCUAACUACGUGC
rnacentral:rRNA from 1 species